AUAUUUGAAAUAAAUUUUUGACUUCUGGUUGAUAGUUACUAUUACAAAAAGGUAUUAAGCAUCAAAGGAUAAGUUUAAAUAAAAAUAAAUUCAUAUUUUUAUUGAAAUUUAACUUUUAUCAUUAAAGAAUUAGGAUAUGGGUGAACGAUAUAAUAUUCAUAGUCAGUUAGAACAUUUGCAAUCGAAGUAUAUUGGCACAGGCCAUGCAGACACAACUAAAUUUGAAUGGCUUGUAAAUCAACAUCGUGAUUCUUGCAGUUCUUAUAUGGGUCAUUAUGAUCUGCUAAAUUUUUUCGCUAUCGCAGAAAAUGAAGCAAAAGCUCGUGUCCGGUUUAAUCUCAUGGAAAAAAUGUUACAACCUUGCGGUCCACCACCUGAAAAACCAGAAGAUUAAUUAAUUCAAUGAACAACGUGCUUAUUCGAAAAUAAAUUAUUUAGUAAAAUUAGAAUAACCUUUAUAAGAAUAAAUCAUAACACGAUAUAUGGACUUUUAUUUCAAUAAAAUAAAAAUAAACAUUUAAUAAAAAAUAUGUAAAUUAUAAAUUAAAUUAUCAUAUAAAUUUUAUUAUAUAAUAUUUGUGAUAUAAAAGAAGCGGUGCAAAAUUCAACAAAAUGCCUAUUCCAUGUUCAAGAAAGUGCGGAAAAGAUGCUAUUCUUAAAAGACCUAAAACUGGUCAUGCCUUGUGUAAAGAAUGUUUUUUCUUUGCAUUUGAAAGUGAAAUUCAUAAUACAAUUGUACAG